UCUUAUGCAGAAGCUCGUAGAAGCUUUUGCUUGUUCAGAAAAAUUGGAGUCUCCAGUUGUUCCACAAAGAAAAUCUCAGGCACAAAAGCGGCAUCUCUGGAACUAAUGGAGAAAUAAUCACCUACACUGGAUGAAGACAAAAAUGUAAGAUGCAGCAAGGAAGCCAUGAAACAAUCCAUCACUUCAUUGUGUCAUUUGGAGAAGUUGCCACCGGCAAGAUUUUUGGAAGAAAACAUGAAGAUUGAGUUACUUUUUGUGAUCCUCUUAAUUAAUAGUGCACCUCAUUCAAAAUUGUGCCUCAACUUUCCAUCUACACCAAUGCAACUGAAUGUGCUAAAAGUUCCUCAUGGAUAGCUAACCUUCCACACAUGUGCUCACUGAUACUACGGAUGUGACCACAAUCAGUAGAGCACAAAGCUUUGAAACAAAGCCUGCCUACAACUUCUGCCUUACAUCUUCUAACUUCUUCUCCAGUAUCCGCAUGCUGCCAGGCCAACUCAACAGGUUCCUAGGGUAGAAUGAGACAUUACACCAUGAGUAUGGCACAAAAAUGCCAUUUUGUAUCCAGCCUCCACUCGUCUUAAUAUUUAGGCAUACUGAUCCAUGUCAUAAUCUAUGAAUUUUCCAUUAUUGUAUGUCCCAGCGGUAUGAGACAGUAGGAUGAUGAGAGGAAUUAACAUGUGGCUCCCACUUUCAUUAUAAAGAAAACUCUACUGAGCCCAAUGCUAGUGACAUCUUGCUCAUUUUGCCCAUUUUGCUAUUGCCCAAUUUAUUCCUGAAGAAUUCUGGGAAAUGUAGUUUAGGGAAGCUGAGGACUUCUCUGGCUGAGAAUUUCAAAAAGCCCCACCCUAAACUGCAUUUCCCAGAAACCUGCAGGAGCAAAGCGAGUGAUAGAAAAGCAGGCACCUCUGCUUUAAAACGCUAAUGUAACACUGGACUUGUCCUGUGAAAUUCUGGCUUAAAAUGUGACCUUAUCUAAACAGAUUCAUUCAUAAACUGUUCAGUAAACAUUUUUGAUUGUACUACUUUCACUUCACAAGCGAUGCUGCUUUUCCUUACACAAGAUAACCCUUCACUUUUGUGACAAAAAAGUAAAGCAGAUAUCAAAAUGUUAGUAAGCAAUGGUUCUUUAUCUCAAUCAGUUUGCUUGAAGCCACCUACAAGACAUGAAAAAAUAUUGUCAAGAUUCCCCCAUUUCCUCCCUGAUCAUAUUCAAGCCAAGCUGUUUCCAG